ACGAACGCUGGCGGCGUGCUUAAUACAUGCAAGUCGAACGAGGUCCAACCAAUCGCAAGAUUGGGGACGACCUAGUGGCGAACGGGUGCGUAACACGUGAGGAACCUGCCCCGAUCUCUGGAAUAACAAGUGGAAACACUUGCUAAUACCGGAUGCCGUCGGACCGCCGCAUGGCGGACCGCCGAAAGAUUCAUCGGAUCGGGAGGGCCUCGCGGCCUAUCAGCUUGUUGGCGAGGUAACGGCUCACCAAGGCUUCGACGGGUAGCUGGUCUGAGAGGAUGAUCAGCCACACUGGGACUGAGACACGGCCCAGACUCCUACGGGAGGCAGCAGUAGGGAAUCUUGCACAAUGGGCGAAAGCCUGAUGCAGCAACGCCGCGUGCGGGAAGAAGGCCCUAGGGUUGUAAACCGCUUUCAGCAGGGAAGAAAAUGACGGUACCUGUAGAAGAAGGUGCGGCCAACUACGU
rnacentral:rRNA from 1 species